rnacentral:rRNA from 1 species
AUGGCGACCAGGAUGUCAAAGGAGGAGCUGGCGGCGUAUCAGCCGAGGCCGGGGGUGCGCUGUGAGAAGGCGGCGGCGGAAUUCUUGGCGAGGAGGAAGAAGGAGAUGGAGUCCGAGCCUGAGGAGUCCCGCACCGACAUAAACGCGUACGAAGCAGGCCUCUACCGUGUGUUCUGGGAGCAGAUGUUCGGCAAGAACGGUUCCCGCUACGAGGACAUCACAAUGAUCCCUCCCAUGGCUUUCACUGAUCAUGGCUGCAAGUUUGCCGGCGUCCAGUCCACUAUACAGAUUUUUUCCGUCAAAGUCGAGGAGACAACGGGAGGGUUGGUGUGGCCCUUGCAUGUCUACGGUAUGGUUGCGGUCCGUGACGUCGUUGACCACAACCGAAAUGUUAUCUUCCAUCGUGAAAGGGAUAACUGCCAAAUCAUUACCACAAUGGAUCCAUAUCUGGCACUAACGGGUCCUACCCGGGGUGUUGUGGUGUCUGUUCAUCCUGUGUACUUUGAAGUUCAUCUUAAGGUGAAAGGUCAGAAGGAAUCUGAAGACAAAGACCUAGCCUUUCUGGCAGGCUGUUACAGCAGUAAUGGCCCAUGGAGAUCCUGUUUGUUUGAUAGGUCUUGGACCAGCAAGCUCAGCACACUGAAGUUUACUUGUGGCCACUUGGUUGACUCAGUGGAGGCCACAGUGAGCGUGAAACUCAUUGGAGGGACGUGGCCGCAUGGCUAUCGCGGUGUAUUCAAGGCUGAGACGUCCGGUAUUCCUGAGAAGUCCGUGAUGCUACUUGAUUGUCGUGAUGGCAAACUGCCUGUUGAUGGCGAUGGUCACGUGAAGUUUUCGCGGCGCGUUGUUUGCGUUGAGGUUGCUCCUUUGGAUGAGCUUUGUGUCACUAAUCUGAAAGUAUCGAUAGAGGCAGUGCGUAUCAAAGGGAAGAAAGAAAAAGUCAAAGAGAAGAUAAGGAAACAUACGGUGAAGCUUGAGGCUGAUUUUCUGCCCAAGAAAAAGGGUAGAAGCCGGGAGAUUGUAGAGGUUCUCUCAUGUGAAAUGGAAGUGGAGGUUGCGUGGUCUCUUCUGUCGACCUUCAAGGCCAGCUAUAAGAGGGCCAUUGCUGAUCAUCUGGAGAGUCUAAACUUGGUUUAG